GCACAUGUAUUUAUACAUGCACAUAUAGAAUCCCACCUUGUUUCCUAGCUACAUUCUUGUGAGGUGGCUGACUUGGCAGAUACAAACUGUGAGAAGAGAUCACUCCUCCUAAAUGCUGUUGAAACUGAAAAUUCAACCUAUGGCCUAUUCAGCACAUGUAUUUUUACAUGCACAUAUAGAAUCCUACCUGGUAUCCCAAGUAUAUUCUUGUGAAGUGGCUGACUUGUCAGAUACAAAUUGUGAGAAGAGAUCACUCCUCCUAAAUGCUGUUGGAACUGAAAAUCAACCUACAGGGAGCAGUAGAGGCCCCACCCUCCCCCGCUGCUUGCUGGCUUAGGAUCUAUCUUGUCCCCUGAGAGCCUGUGUAUGACAUACCACCUCACACCUACCCUCAUUGAUGAUAUCACAUGGCCAACAGGAAGAGUCACCAAAGAUUUGGGAACAAUUGGAACUUGCCUCCUUUUUUUGGUAAAAAUUUCAGAUAGUAUAGUCUCUUUAGCAAAUUACCUGUUAGUUCCUCAAAAUGACAAACAUGGAGUUACCCUAUGGGCCAGCAAUUCUACUUCCAGAAAUCAGUACAAGAAAAAAAAAAGAAGAAGAAAGAAAGAAAAGAAAAACGUACAUCAGCACAAAAGCUUGUGUUAAUGGCAAUAGUCAAAGAGCAGGAAGUUGUGAGUGUGUCAAUGAAAUGUGGCAUAUCCAUACCAUGCAAGAUCAUUUGACAAUGGAAAUAAAUGAAAUCGUGAUGCUUGCUAUAUCGUGAAAGAAAACAUUAUGUGCAGUAAAUGAAGCAGCCAUGAAGAGCACAUGUUAUAUGAUUACAUGACUAAAUUUAUAUGAAGUGUCCAGAACAGUCACAUCUACAGAGAUUGGAAGCAGACUGAUAAUUUUCCUAGGACCACAGGUAGGAGGGAGGGGAUGGAUUGUG